ensembl:lncRNA
AAGCUGGCAGUCCAUGGCUUGGAUAGAUACACUCUUGUCUGGUAGGACCUGCUAAAGAGAAAGAGGUUCGGAAGACUUUUAGUAUUGCAUCUGGACAGUCAGCAAACUUGAGAAGGUGAGUCUACUUGCUGUAACUUUCUCUUUUACAUGUCACUUUCCAGAUGUAGACUUCAUACAACCAUACACUGCACCAAUACCUUCUUUUUUCUACACAAGCAUAGCUCAUCCCAUGCAGAAAGAUAGAAUAAAUAGUGAAUAAUCUGAACCUUGAGUAAUUAGAAAUGAAUGCAUCUGAGUGUGUGUGAUUUCUAAUUAAUGUCUGACUAGAGCAAAAUGUUCAAAAACGCUGCAUUUGAUAACUAGGCAAAAUUUCAGUUUGCAUUUCAAGCACUGACAAAUAGUUUACCUCAUAAAUUAGGACACAUGAUGGACAAGAACAGAUUUAAUGAUUUGUUUGUUUGUUUGAGCUUUGAGCACUAUUGCCAGUAUUAAGGAUUUAUUGAUUCCUUGUUAUGUGCCCAACAAUCAGAUAUGCAACCUUCAUGACUAAUCAUGUUGUGGGUUAUUUUGUUUGCAUAAAACAAAUGGAUCCUAUGUUUGACUUUAAAAAUAAUUAACUGUCAUAUGAAUUAAUGUUUGGUUUAAAUUUUAACAUAAUAUCAGCAAGACAGAAAGGUACAUUAAACAUCCAGUCUGUUAAAAAGUUAACAGGAACACAUUACCCAAGUGGUACGUUAUCUUUACUUAAAUCCUAAAGAAGUUAGUAGUCUGGAUUUCAUUAGUAGACUCAAGUCACUGUUUAAGAUAAAUCUGAAUCAGAUUCUAUUGCCUUUAACCUUGUUGUUUCUGCAUGACUCAAUGCAUGAACAAUAUGAGUGCUAUUAAUGUUAGUGUUUACAUAAUAAAAUAUAUUGAAUCUGAAUUAAGUACUGCCACAGUGCUCCAAAAGAGAGUUAUUUAAAGUGUAUAUUGGUGUCUAAUUUCUACUAUUUCCAAGGUAAAAUAGCUACACUUCUGCAUGUGUGCAAUAAUUUGUGCCUACUGAUAAACACUAUCUGAACUUAAAUUAUCAUUAACUGUCAUAGAUUUUAAAAUCUAGGAAACUUAAAUUUAUUUUUAUGUAUUUUAUAUUAUAUAUUACAUCUAUAUACGUAUAUAUAUAUAUAUAUAUGUAUGUAUAUAUAUAUAUCAUAUUAAAUAUUCCGUGAGAGUAAAGCUGUUUCAGGCCUACAAAGCUAUGAGAUCUUCAGUGAGUAAAAUCAUUACUUCAAACUUUCUUGGCAUCUGGGCUCCUCAAACUUUAAGGACUGCAUCUUAUUUUCAAUUUUGGCAUAUGAAGAUUUGCUCAGCUACUGAUUCAGAAAUGCAAACCAACUGGAAUAAACUCCAAAACAUAUCUCCCAUUUCUUCUGAACCUCUAAGCCUGAAGCACUUCACAGCCUCAAGUGAUACUUGACUGAACCAGUUCAAUGGAGUAUCUGCUGAAAAAACUUUGAAAACAUGGUGAGAUGUAAAGCUGGUCAGGGAGUAUACAGUUAUUUAAUUUCCUUCUUCCUCCUGUUGUUCUUCUGCUUCUCCUUCUACUCCUUUCUUCUUUCCUCCUCUUCUUUGUAUUAUUAACAUUAAAAACCUGUCAGGCACUGACAUUUCACCAGAAUAGGAAUCUUGACGCUCAAAAUCAUUAAGUAUUUUGCUGCUGUUCGUAUUAAAGAUUUGCCUAGGCAUGCUGUUGUGCAGCCACUUCUUUUAAUCAUAUCAUUUUCUUAACUGAAAAUUUAUCUUCAGAAAAGUAUAAUUCAGUAACAAAAUUUACUCAGAACUAUUAUAUGAAAAGAGGAAGCAAAAUCUUAGAUUGUCAGGUUGUAACUUGGAAUCCCACAGUAAUUAUGCAUUAAAAUUUGUAGAUUAAAAAUGUGAAAUAAAAUUAAUGCUGUGUCAGUCUGGUUUAGGUGAUGAAAAAAGAAUAAUUGUUUUAAGAAGCCUGAUGGAGUGAAAUGAGCUUCAUAAAAGCUAAGUAUAGAUAGGGCUUGAUUCCAUCUUUCUAUAUUUUCUGUCCCCUCUUCCUUCACUCCCUAAUGCUUAGUAGUAGCAAGUGUUAUAGUGUAAUGUAACAAUUCAUUUUAUGCUCAAAAAAACAACACAGUUUGAUAUCUAGUAAAAAAAGUAUCAUGGUUCACUGUAUUCUUUCUUGCUUAUUUUGGAAAAAAAAAACCUAAAAUAUAAUAAAAAUCACAGGGUAUUUUGCAAAUAUUAUUGACAGCAAUUUGAAAAUCUUCAUUUCUUUCAAGGAAAUCUUGAACAGCAAAAAAUGGGAAAAUUAGGAAACAGAAAAUGUUUGUUUCACCACAUAUAAUGUGCAAUCUGAUAUCUUGUAUAUGUAUCAGAAUAAACUUGAACUCUC